UCGGCUUCUUGCUGUUUAUUGAAACGAAACGUGCAGCGAACGGUAUCAUUUCAGAAAGCUAAAUACGAGCUAAAUACGAGCUAAAUAUCCUUAACUAAAAUUAGUGGUUUGUUCUCUAUAAAAUCGUGUGAAUUCCAUGCAAUUAGACACACACGGAACACAUAUAGUACGGUAGAACUGUCCUUAAAGCUAUACAUGCAAACAGAUUUAUGUAAGUAGAAGAAGUUAAAUAUUG